UACGAAGGGGGCUAGCGUUGCUCGGAAUUACUGGGCGUAAAGCGCGUGUAGGCGGCCCGGUAAGUCCGCUGUGAAAGUCCAGGGCUCAACCCUGGGAUGCCGGUGGAUACUGUCGGGCUCGAGUCCGGAAGAGGCGAGUGGAAUUCCUGGUGUAGCGGUGAAAUGCGCAGAUAUCAGGAGGAACACCGAUGGCGAAGGCAGCUCGCUGGGACGGUACUGACGCUGAGGCGCGAAAGCGUGGGGAGCGAACAGG
rnacentral:rRNA from 1 species